AUCAAGACCUUGGAGAGCAAUACUCCCUCCAACCUCACGGCUUGGACCAUGGAAAUUCAAGUUCAAGUUUUGCCUCUCCAAAAUUUAUUCUUGGGUACAAACCCACUAUUUUGAGGUCCCUAAGUAGCGUGGAGGUGUCGUUGGAGCGAUCAAGUCCUUCAUUCAAGAGAUUCCAAACCCUAACCCAUUUGUGGAAUUGAAGGAGAAAGACCUUGGGGAGCCCGAGGCGUAGAUUGGGAUUUACUUAGAUUGGCUAUCUUGGAGUGCGUUCGAGGUACAGAUGCGCAGUUUGGUGAUCCACCAGUUUAGGACAUCAUCCUUUGCUGUUCGGAGUGCUCUUCUCACUUCAGAGCAUAUGUUUUGGUAUACAGUUUCGUUCGUUGUGUAUGUAUUUGUUCAGGGGUACGGCGGGGCCCUGUCCCGCCAUAUGAUUCAGUUGGUUUGUUUAGAGGUCUGUAGACGUAUUUGUGGGUGUGUGUGCCUACUUCUGUUCCGAUGUGUUUGUAUGAUUCUAUUCGUUAUGGCAGCCUUGUCGGCGUGCAUUUGUAUCUGUGUUUUGGGCCGUUGUGCCAUUUGACAGCCUUGUCGGCUUUUGACAUAUUUGACAGCCUUGUCGGCUUUUUGGACAUAUUUGAUAGCCUUGCCGGCUUUUCGAUAUAUGUAUAUGCUUAUGUUUGUGUCAGAUACAGUUGGAUACAGUUUGAGACGGCAUAUAGCAGUUAUAGCCAUAUAUGCUAUUUGUAUGUGAUUCGAUAUGGAUAGGUACGUUUGGGUGCCCAACUAGGGCGCC